CUGAGAAUCUUCAUGUUCUUUUAUGUCAAUGGUCGAAUUCAAUUUGCUUUCCUCCUCAACCAUCUCCUCAUCAUUAUUUGACCGAUUUAGCUCAGAUUCAGCAACAUGCACACUAGUGUCUUGCGAUUCCUGAGCUUCUGCCAGGUCCCUCUGCUGAUCCAAAUCCAAAUCAUUAUGAACACCAUUGAUAGCUACAGCCUGAGAAUCUUCAUGUUCUUCUAUGUCAAUGGUCGAAUUCAAUUUGCUUUCCUCCUCAACCAUCUCCUCAUCAUUAUUUGACCGAUUUAGCUCAGAUUCAGCAACAUGCACACUAGUGUCUUGCGAUUCCUGAGCUUCUGCCAGGUCCCUCUGCUGAUCCAAAUCCAAAUCAUUAUGAACACCAUUGAUAGCUACAGCCCGAGAAUCUUCAUGUUCUUUUAUGUCAAUGGUCGAAUUCAAUUUGCUUUCCUCCUCAACCCUCUCCUCAUCAUUAUUUGACCGAUUUAGCUCAGAUUCAGCAACAUGCACACUAUUGUCUUGCGAUUCCUGAGCUUCUGCCAG
rnacentral:lncRNA from 1 species